CCUACGGGAGGCAGCAGUGGGGAAUAUUGCGCAAUGGGCGAAAGCCUGACGCAGCGACGCCGCGUGGGGGAUGACGGCCUUCGGGUUGUAAACCCCUGUCGGGUGGAACGAACAAGCUCGGUGCCAAUACCACCGGGCCCUGACGGUACCACCGAGGGAAGCCCCGGCUAACUACGUGCCAGCAGCCGCGGUAAU
rnacentral:rRNA from 1 species